rnacentral:rRNA from 1 species
GGGUUGUGAGGUUAAGCGACUAAGCGUACACGGUGGAUGCCCUGGCAGUCAGAGGCGAUGAAGGACGUGCUAAUCUGCGAUAAGCGUCGGUAAGGUGAUAUGAACCGUUAUAACCGGCGAUUUCCGAAUGGGGAAACCCAGUGUGAUUCGUCACACUAUCAUUAACUGAAUCCAUAGGUUAAUGAGGCGAACCGGGGGAACUGAAACAUCUAAGUACCCCGAGGAAAAGAAAUCAACCGAGAUUCCCCCAGUAGCGGCGAGCGAACGGGGAGCAGCCCAGAGCCUGAAUCAGUGUGUGUGUUAGUGGAAGCGUCUGGAAAGGCGCGCGAUACAGGGUGACAGCCCCGUACACAAAAAUGCACAUGCUGUGAGCUCGAUGAGUAGGGCGGGACACGUGGUAUCCUGUCUGAAUAUGGGGGGACCAUCCUCCAAGGCUAAAUACUCCUGACUGACCGAUAGUGAACCAGUACCGUGAGGGAAAGGCGAAAAGAACCCCGGCGAGGGGAGUGAAAAAGAACCUGAAACCGUGUACGUACAAGCAGUGGGAGCACGCUUAGGCGUGUGACUGCGUACCUUUUGUAUAAUGGGUCAGCGACUUAUAUUCUGUAGCAAGGUUAACCGAAUAGGGGAGCCGAAGGGAAACCGAGUCUUAACUGGGCGUUAAGUUGCAGGGUAUAGACCCGAAACCCGGUGAUCUAGCCAUGGGCAGGUUGAAGGUUGGGUAACACUAACUGGAGGACCGAACCGACUAAUGUUGAAAAAUUAGCGGAUGACUUGUGGCUGGGGGUGAAAGGCCAAUCAAACCGGGAGAUAGCUGGUUCUCCCCGAAAGCUAUUUAGGUAGCGCCUCGUGAAUUCAUCUCCGGGGGUAGAGCACUGUUUCGGCAAGGGGGUCAUCCCGACUUACCAACCCGAUGCAAACUGCGAAUACCGGAGAAUGUUAUCACGGGAGACACACGGCGGGUGCUAACGUCCGUCGUGAAGAGGGAAACAACCCAGACCGCCAGCUAAGGUCCCAAAGUCAUGGUUAAGUGGGAAACGAUGUGGGAAGGCCCAGACAGCCAGGAUGUUGGCUUAGAAGCAGCCAUCAUUUAAAGAAAGCGUAAUAGCUCACUGGUCGAGUCGGCCUGCGCGGAAGAUGUAACGGGGCUAAACCAUGCACCGAAGCUGCGGCAGCGACACUAUGUGUUGUUGGGUAGGGGAGCGUUCUGUAAGCCUGUGAAGGUGUACUGUGAGGUA